rnacentral:rRNA from 1 species
UACAGAGACUGCAAGCGUUAUUCGGAUUCACUGGGCGUAAAGGGUGCGCAGGCGGCCAAGUGUGUUAGGCGUGAAAGCCCGGGGCUUAACCCCGGAAUUGCACCUAAAACUACAUGGCUAGAGCAUUGGAGAGGGUAGCGGAAUUCCCGGUGUAGAGGUGAAAUUCGUAGAUAUCGGGAGGAACACCGAUGGCGAAGGCAAUCCCCUGGGCCUGUACUGACGCUCAUGCACGAAAGCGUGGGGAGCAACAGG